rnacentral:piRNA from 1 species
UAUACUGGCAUUCAGUUCUUUGAAGGUGGUC